UGUGUUAACCCUUUUCUACCAGCACAAAAAUAGCUGGUAGAAAAAUCCUCCAAGACCUGCCCCCUGGAAAAGCCCCGCCCCGGUAGGAAAGAGGUCCAAGCCCCCCCAGACACCCAGCACUUGCUGACAACAAGUGCUUCAAAAACAGCACUUAGUUCUCCUGCAAACUGAAUGUAAAUUGAUGAUUUUGAAGUGUGAGUGCAUGGAAGGAUCUCACAGAUCAACAUGUGGUCCAGCCACCUCUGCUGCCCCAGCCUCACCUCCAGCUGAGACUCAGAAGAACAAAACAAAGAACGCUUCGUGGUGGCGCAUGAAGUCUGAGGAUGUUCUGGAGAAGGACUCAGCAGGUCCGAAGCCUCCAGUCUCAGCUGUACCUGAUAAAGAAGCCGUGGCAAGGUCAAAAUGCAGACAGCUACACUGACCUGGUCCUUUCUUCCCUGAACACCCGCGUUCAUCUGCUUAAAUAGUCAAUUCACCCUGGACUAUUCCAUUUGGUAGGUUAACCAGGAAGUUAUAAAUACAGGAAGUAAAACUACAUUUCCUCUCUUUGUUCCUAGAACACAGGUACGUAAGGUGAGUUCAAACUAAACCAAUUAAUAGUUGAAAUAAAUAACAUGUUAACUUAACAAACUUGUCAGAAUUGAUUUAAACCAAGAUGUUAUGUUAUAAAGUGCAAAACAUAAACAAACCUGGGAUAGUAGAUGUUUGCCUGGUGCAGACUACAUAUGAGAUGGGGCUAAAUCAAAACAAGAAUGUUAACUAAGGAUAUGGACAAGUGGUAUUCUCACCCACUUUGUCACACUCUCCUCACACUGAGAGUCAUUACUGAGGAGCUCUGCAGCCAGCUGCAGCUGUGGAGGUUUCACCCAGAGUGCCAGCUCAUCAGUCAGUUUGUGGACAUCAAAUUGAGCCGCUUCAACAACGACAGCUGGAACAAAAGCUCUGUCCUGACUGCUUUUAAAGACACGGUCGCUGUGUCUCAUCCAGAGUUUGACGACGACGAUCAGAAAGAUGCCCACGAGUUCCUCGUCUGUGCUCUGGACGUGCUCCAGUGUGAGUUCUCUAAGCUGCAGGCAGAAGCAGCUGCCUUGGACAAACCUUCCAUCUGUCCAGUUAGAGCUCACAUUGGCUUCACGAUGUUGAGAAUACAGUUGUCUGUAAUCCUGGAGUGGCCAGGGCCUAUUAUAUGCCACAGCCUAAAGGCAGCAGAGUUGCAGAGGCUGGAGUGACCACUGGCUAUAUGCUUGCAGGGUGGUGGGUCUCAGAGGACAACUUCUAACCCCGUUGAAGGCAACAUGUGGAGUGCAACUGACAGUGUGGCAUAGCUGGCUCUGGCCUUGGGACUGUGUGUUUUAUUU
ensembl:lncRNA